GUUUCAUUACCCGCAACCCGGCAGAGAUUUCAAAAACUAACCCUUAGAAAACCCCUGCCCGGACCUAUCUUUCCCGCCAACAUAAGAUCCACAAUUGCAUCUAUUCAACCACCCUUGAUCCGUGUCUCCUUCAAUUCAAUCUAACCACAGAACAAAAAAAAUGCAUAAAAGGUUUAUAGAUCUCUCGAUCUAUCAAUCUCGGGAGGGCUAUAGAGGAUUUCUAUUGAUGUUUUGAAAACAUUAAAAAAUGGGGGAAACCCUAAUGGAGACCCGUAUAAUUCGGAUAAACCCUAAAAGCAAACACGCCAUCGUAGCAAAUCAGGAAAACAGAAAGAAAAGGAAACGGAGCCAUACCAGUUCUGGAAUCAACAAGACGGAAUGCUGGCCUGAAUCUGAUGUGAAGAGGAGACAGAGAAUUCAGAACAAAUUUUUAUUUCUUCAGAUCCGAGAGCAAUUCCAGCUUAAAAAGCACAAUCCAAAGCAUGAAGACAAAGUCUGGAUAAGAAUGCACUGAAUAUGUAACGUAAAAUCACUCCCCUUCACUGCUCUUUGUCUUUGUACGGAUUUGAGUGCUCUCUUCUCUCUCUCUGUUUAUGUGUGUGUAUGUAUUUGGGGGUGGGGAUGGAGUGUGGGCUGGAAUAGGACUGGGAUUACAGUAAUUCAUUCUUGAAUUUCCGUCCAAGCCUGUUGUUGCUCCGACGCGUGGUGGUUUGGAGAGUGGUUUGGACUCUGGGCCACCAGCCAAUUUCUCUAAUGACGCGCCUCUUAUAGCAUGUCUCUCUUACGCUCGUAUAAGUACAGCGCGUCUAUUUCCGGCUCGUAUAAGUUCAGCGCGUAUAUUCCCCGCUCGUAUAAGUUCAGCGCGUAUAUUUUCACAAGGGAAAAUUAUACCCCAGGUUCUAGCCUUUAUUCGUUGGAUAUUUGUGUCCCCAAGCUAUAAAUGCAAUAACUUUAAAUCGUGCUUUUCAUACUUGAUCCAGACUUCAACUUGGUUGAAGUGGUAGAUUUGCAAGUUUUGGUUCAAUCGGUGGCCAAUAGGUUAUUAUAUGUUCAAAAAUCUAAAAUGAUAAUUGCUUUGUUUGAAAAAACAAGGAAUACUAUUUAGGCUUAAAAGUUGAUGUGUGUUAUGAUUUAAAACUAAAUGCGAAUAAUUUAGUGUAUCAUGGAAAUACAAUUAAAUGAAUAGUUUUCUCAAGUAUGUUAUAGUUUUAAUUAUUCUCAUUAAAUCUACUCUGUCCAAUCUCCCGACUUAUUUCCUGUCACUGUUUCCUAUCCCUAGUACAGUGGCAAACAGAUUAAAAAGGAUUCAAAGGAAGUUUCUUUGGGCAGGGCUAGGGGAAGAGAGGAAAUUUCAUUUGGUUAAUUGGGGUGUGGUUUGUUCUCUUGUUAGGAUGGGGGGGCCUUGGAGUGAGGAGCUUUGUUCUAUUUAAUAAGGCUUUAUUGGGCAAGUGGUUGUGGCGAUUUGGAGUGGAGAGGGAGAGUCUUUGGAGACAAAUCAUAGGAGCGAAGUUUGGUUUGAUGGAGGGGGGUUGGUGCUCGAUCGAGGGUCGUGAAUCUUAUGGGGUGAGUUUGUGGAAGUAUAUCCGACGAGGAUGGAAUGAUUUUCGAGAGAAAUUGGCUUAUGUGACGGGGAAUGGCAAUAGUAUCAGAUUUUGGGAUGAUUGUUGGUGUGGAGAUCUUCCCCUAAAGGCACAGUUUCCUUCUUUGCAUUGCAUUGCCUUGCAGCCUACUGCUAUGGUGAAUGAUGUCCUAGCCAUAUAUAAUGGAAAUUAUAGCUGGAAUAUUGCCUUCGAGAGGGGUUUGCAGGAUUUGGAACUGGAUGAUUAUGCACUGUUUUUUACCUCCUUGCAUGAAGUGCAUAUUCAAGUGGGAGGAGAUGAUAAGAGCAGAUGGAAGUUGACACGGGAUGGUAUUUUCUCAUUUUGCACUUAUUUUAGAUUUAUAUUGGGAUCGAUGGAGAUUUCAUUUCCUUGGAAGAUGGUGUGGCAAUGUAAACUGUCCCCACGGGUGGCUUUCUUGUUAUUGACGGUUGUGAGGGGGCAGGCAUUAACGGUGGAUAAUCUUUGUAGAAAAGAUUUUUACGUUACCGAAUGGUAUUAUAUGUGCAAGAGAGACAGAGAAACGAAUGACCAUUUGUUCCUUCAUUGUGAAGAUGUCCGGUGGUUGUGGAACACUAUUCUAGCUUUUCAACAUAUGGAUUGGGUGAUGCCUAGGCGUAUGGAGGAUGUGUUGCGGGCAUGGAGGAGAAAAUUUCGAGAUAAAGAUAGUAGGCUUGCAUGGAACCUUAUUCCGGGAUACAUUGUAUGGUGUGUAUGGAGAGAAAGGAACAACCGUUGUUUCGAAGACCAAGCAAGAACAACUGAGCAAAUUAGAGAAUGAUUUUAUAUGACUUUGUAUACUUUGUUUAAGGCUACAGCCACAAAUUAUGUAGAAGGGCUACCAAACUUUAUGUCGUUUCUUUCCUGUUUAAAUUGAUAAUACACCCCCAUGUAUUAUCUAUUAAUAAAAUUACUUGAUUGCUUAUAAAAAAAAAAAGUAUGUUAUAGUUUUAAACUUGAUUUUAUAUGAUAAGUCAUAAGCAAUUUUAUAAAAAUCAACAUGUUAGUAGUAUUUAUACCGUUUAUAAUUUGUAUAUUGGUCGAAAGUUUGAUCCCUACAGCAAAUAAAAUGCAUUUUGAACCUUACUAGCCAAUUUUUAUUUAGAAUUUAUGUUGGCCGACUUUUCAUAAAAACUGCCCAAUUAGGACUAAAAUUGAUGAGAUGGUACUUAUUUGAUUGGUUAUGGUGGUCCUUGACCAAGACAUUUGCAGACUGGAUCUUUGAGAAAACCGGGACUAUAUUGCAAAUCAGGUAAUUUUGAAGAAAAAGUGCCUUUUUACCGCGUGUAAUUAUUUUCACAUUGUAGUUUUAUUUUUGUUUCACCACAUUUUAAUUGCAAUGAAGGUCCUCAACUUUUGCUUAUUGUCGCACUUUUAUCUUCCAUUAGAUAGUAUUGCCAAGCAGCCAUAAGUUUAUUGUGAUGAUUUCACAGUCGAAAUACUUGGCUGUUAAAGAAGAAGUUUAGAAAUGAAGUGUCAGUUGAACAUGUAAGCACCGAAGUUAUGAUUGUAGACCCAUUAAGGAAAAGGGUAGCACCAAAUAUAUUAAAAGAACAUGUUGAAAGAAUGGGUAUUUAUGAGUAUUUUGACACUCGAAGGUUACUUAUAUGUUUUUGGUAAUUCAUGUUUAAUUAUGCUAUAAAUGAAUGAUUUAUAGCCGCAAUACUCCUGAGGACAUUGAUUUUGGACAUAAUGAAUGUUCUUUACUUAUGGAUAACAUUAAGCUAAGAAUUAGUGAAGUGUUUCUUGGAAGGAACUAAGUCGAAUUAAUGACGUACAAUCGCCAUUCUCUCAUUAGAUUUUAGCUAGCUUAUGAUGUACGUUGUGACCAAUUAAGGAAGCAAUUCAUUAAUGAGAAUGUGCAUGGUAUGUUCAAUUAAUCAUAUUACGGAAAAUCAUAUCAACCAAGUGGGAGAAUAUAAGAAUAUUAUGCGGCUCAUGCAAUUUACAAAAGUAAACUUUUGAAUAAAAUUCUAAAUGUGAUGGUUUAAUGAAGCAAAACGAAUUCUUUAUCAUUGAUAUAUCUCAUGCACGUUACAAAUAAAUAAAGUUUACAUGUUAGUUGAAUUAAAUGAAUGUUGUAAAACACCGCUUUUGCAUUGAAGUAAGGUAAUUCAUGAAUGUGACCGAUGGAUGUGCAUAAAGCAGUGUUCUAAAAGGUGUAAUGCGCGGCGAUGCACAGAGGCCAAGCUAUGGGCUAGGAGAGCUUAGGCGAGGGCGAGGCAUAAGCGUAAAAAGGUGUUUUUUUAUUUCAAUAUUAUUUUAGUUUUUAAUCAAUCGAAAAAUUGUUUAAUAAUUAAAAAUAAUACUUGCGAAACAUCUAACACAAAUUUAUAGGAAAUUUAUACAUUUCUCCAAAGUUUUCAACAAAAAAUUAAGUUCCAAAUAUAAAUAUUAAAUAGUAAAUAAAUAGGAAUUUUGGGAGAUUUUCUUUGUUCAAAACUUCAAGAGCCUAUUUUAAAUUUAAAAGCGACGAAGUGAAGAAAUCAACAUAUAAGUUUUAACUUAGAAGAAUUGUAGUAAUUAAAAAAAAAGAAAAAGAAAAGAGAUAAUUAACCGCGCCUAGGCGCUCAUUAGCGGUCAACAAUUGCUCUUGACCGCUAAAUAAAACACCAAGCCACUUGGUUUGGCAUUUCCGUCGCGCAAAGCACAUUGGUGGCGGUGUGCCAAUGCACGCCUUUUAGAACUAUGACAUUUAGAAUGCUAUAAAAAGUGGCCAACAGGUCCUCUCUCCACUCAUUAAAUUUUGUACGCCGCCGCCAAUGCGCACCUUUUAGAACUGUGACAUUUAGAAUGCUAUAAAAAGUGGUCAACAGGUCCUCUGUCCACUCAUUAAAUUUUGUACCUAUCCUAUCAUUAUACUGUACAUAUAAAAGUGAGAAUAAGAGAGAAACGUGUUCUUGCACAAUUUCCUUUGCAGUUACCGGCUCUCAAAAUAUCAAUGGACAGCAAAGUUUUUUCUUUCUUGUAUUUUAACAUGUGAAAAUAUAAAGUUCUAAAGUCGGGAUUAGUUGUUCAUGUGGCAAUUUUUUUCUUCUGCCAUUCUCAGUUCAGUAGGAAUGGGUACUGUUGAAUUUUCAGACUUUACAUCAUUUCUUCUCCGUUCUGUGCAAAUUGCUCAAAGAGAAUCCAUGUACAGAGACCAGGUCACAAAAGUUGUCAGAAGCCUCUGAUGUCGCAAGGCUUUCUUCCCAUGGUGGCAUUUUGAAGCAAUCUGUAUUUGAUUCCUCACCCAUAAAGGUUCAUGGACAUUCAUCAACUGUCAGCUCCAUGUCAUGGGAGAAUUUUAGAUUCUUGGUCUUCAACUAUGAUUUUCCUACCGAAAGCAAGACAUUCAUAGAUUACAAAGUAUCUCAGGUAUCUGUCUCUAUUUGACCAUUAUUUAUAUAUUUUUUAGCUUUAUAUUUUUUAAUUUUUUUUCAUUUGAGUGCACUUCUUUAUGGUAACCGGUGUUUGCAUAUCGUGGUUCCCUAGAAGAUACCGAACACCAUUCACUUUGAUUUAAUUCCUUUCUUUCCAAGGGGAAAUCAUUAUAUUUAGUUUGGUAAGGGCACCAAAGUGGUUAAAUAUAAAACUUUUGAACAGGCUACAACUCCAUGGAAGCAAGUUGUAUCUUGGCAUGAAAAGAAAGCAAGAACAGAAUGUGGGAAAAAAUCAUCAUUUGUGUAUUUGAACGGACAAUAAUAUGUUUUUUCGGAAGCUUGGUUGUUAAACUCCAGAUCGAAAUCCUACAACUCUACAAUCUCAAAUGACAAACGAUCCAAUCCUAUUUUAGGAUCUUAAAAUUAUAGAAUCUUGCUAUGCCAAAUGUUGUAUUUUAACAAUUUAGUGAUUCUAACUAUCCUAAUGAUCUUCCAUCUUUUUAUCAAUAUAGACUUUUUAGCUUUACUUUAGUAUAUUAAAAUUGUUGAAUCUUAGUUUGGAAGACGUGUUAAAGGUAUGAAGGAGAAAGUUCCGUAAUAAGAAUAGCAAGCUUAUAUAAGACCUUAUUCUGGGUUGCAUCAUAUGGUGUGUGUGGAGAGAAAGAAAUAACUUCUGCUUUGAUAAUCAAGCAGACAACAGAGUAGAUUAGAGAAUUGUUUUAUUUGACGUUGUAUAAUUGGUUUAACGCUACAACUCCUUGGCAUAUAGACGAGUUGCCCAAUUUCAUGUUGUUUCUUUCAUAUUUAAAUUGAUAAUACACUCUUGUGUAUUAUCUAUUGAUUAAUAAAAUACUUGAUUACUUUAAAAAAAAAAAAAUGGGUAUGCCACAUUCACCCUUUUUCUUUUUCGAGAUGAUAUGCAUCCAUCUACUCGAGAUCACUCCUCUUGGCUUUGAAAGGCUUUCUAGAAAUCUGGCGUAACGUUGGAAAAUUUACAUACCUUUUAGUGGUUUCAUGCUUUGACAGAUUGGGGAAGUCAUAAAGUAACAUCGCAGUUAGAUAUUGGAAAGAGACAUUUCGCUUCUUUGUUUGGUCUACUUAAAUCAUCCUGAAGUAAUAAAGCUGCUUCAGCAAUCAGUGAUUCCUUUAAUUUUCUUCCAAUUUUCGUAUACAUUAUUAAAUCACUGGCGACUCCCUAAUUAUUUUGAUUGCAUAUUUGGAGUGCAGAAAACAUUUUAAAGAUGAAGUGAAGAGGCAAAUACAAUUCUUUCUUGUUUAUUACUGAAAAAAGGUUCUGCAUUCAGGGUAACCAGUGUUAAAGUCAAAAUCUUCGCCUUUUGGUGAGUCAUUGCAGAGGAGAACCUAUUCAGCAGAAGAUUCUGAAUUUACAAGAAAAAUGCACAUUGUAGACUCUGAAGCAUUGAUCAAUAUGGAGAAAGAUGAUCUAAUAGGCAUACCGAGGAGGAUCCAUGGGAAUUUUUCUUUUCAAACUACUGAAGGAUCAACGUACAUUAGGUACAAGACCUAGCACUUCUGGUCCCAAACGGCAAGUUAUUCAACUAAACAUACCUGGGAAAACAGAUCUGAAUCUUUGCAGCUGGAUGGUGGAGUAAGAAGAUUCAAACCUCUGAAGACUGGAUGACUGGUAUAGACCCAUUCUAGAGUUAGAUUUUUUGUUUUUUGUCCCUUUUUUUUUUUUUUUUUUUGUGGCUGUGGGAUUAGAAUCUGGAAGUGGCAAAGCUGAUCAAAAUUCUAGCAAACUAAAGGAGGUCCCUGAUUGUUUCCAGUCGGCUGUUGAAUAUGUAGAAAUUUUUCGACCAUUGGCACUAGAAGAAUUCAAAGCACAAUUGUGGAGUUCCUUCCGAGAAACGGCUUCAGUAGAAGAAAUGUGUUGUGGAAGCCUAUCUGUGCUUUCAAGGGAGAGAAUUGAUGAUCUUCACUUUGUUCGUGUAGUCUAUACCUGAAACAAGUCAGAUAUAUCUAAAUUAUGCGAGAAAAUUUAAUGAGUAGUCGCUAAACUUUACUAUAGGUUACGUCUUGCUCAUCGAUAUUUAAAAAGUUACUCGUUGCUCAUUUAAUUUUACUGUAAAUUACUACUUACUCAUCAAAAUUUAAAAGAAUAAUCAUUGCUCAUCUAAAUUUAAUAAAGUUAUUCGUUGCUCACUGAACUUUGCAAUAUGUAACACUUACGGUAAUAAUAUAGGUGAUUGAUGGGUAACUUUGUUCAAAUUUAGGUGAGCAAUAAGCAACCUUUUAAAAUUUGGGCAACAAGUGGUAACUUAUAGCAAAGUUUAGUAAAGAUAACACUUUAAAUUUCGGUGAACAAGUAGUAACCUAUAGUAAAGUUCAAUAACCAUUGAUUAAAGUAACUCAAAUUAUGCUUGGAAAACAAUCUCAUUUUGCUGAAAAGGCAUCCACUAAAAAAUGCUUUCCUUCACGUUCACAUUGUCGUAAAGGUAUAUCUAUAUAUAUUCUAUAUUUGCAAAUACUUGGCUUCUUGAGUAUAUUUUCACAUAUUCCUGUGAUUAUCUAUUUCACAGAGGGGAAUCAAGGUAUGGUAUAGUUAUUUUACUGAUUUGUGGGCAUAAAAAAUACCUUUUCAAUUCAGAGGUUAAAUUUGAAUGUUGAUAGACUCCAAGUUAUUUUGUAUCUCUUGAGGAAACCGAAAUUUUCUGUUUAUUUUGUUGUUAAAUGUUCUUUUUUUCACGGUUGAUGAAAUAUAUUAUAUUAGUCAUUUAAUUCCUACAUUUUGUGUUUUAACUAGUUUGGAAAAUGUAAUUUGUAGUGUUAUAAAGCAGUCUUGUUAAGUUGUGAUUGAAGCCUAUACGUGGAUGAAUUCUUAAGUUGAGCAAUUACCUUUCAAAAAAAAUAAAAAAAUAAUAAUAAUAAUAAAUAAAUAAAUUCUUAAGUUGACCAAUUAGUCUAACAUUUUCUUUUUGCAUAUUGCUGAUGAUGUGUGCUUGUGCUUAGGUGAACUGGCUUGAGAAGGGUAAUAAAAGAAGAUUGAGCCAUACCAGUUCUGGAAUCAACAAGCUGGAAUGCUGGGCUGUAUCUGAAGUGAAGAGGAGAAAGAGAAUUCAGAACAAACUUUUAUUCUUCAGAUCUGAGAGCAAUUCCAGCCCAAGUCCGGAUAAGAAUGCACUGAAUAAGUAACAAAAAUCACUCCCAUUUACUGCUCUGGCUGUGUAUGGAUUUGAGUUCUCUCCUCCUCUCUCUCUCUCCAUCUCUCCAUAUGUAUGUGUUUAUGUAUGUAUUUGUGGUUUUGAAUUGGAAUCAGAGCUGGGAUUGCUGUAAGAAUUAAUCUCCUUGUAUAGGGAGAUUGUACAGGAAGCAUUGUAGGGAAACAAGUAGCAACACUGCAUUGGCCGGAACAAAAUUAUUUUUUGUCCAAGCUCCAAUGAAUGGUUGCCACUUGUCUCCCUGUAAUGUAUCUGUACAAUCUUCUUGUACAUGUACCCUAAUUGUUAAGUAAUUCAUUUUUACGUCCGAGCCCAUUACUGCUCUGACGCGUGGUGGUUCUGAGAGUGGUUUGGACUCUGGGCCACCAGCCAAUUUCUCCGAUGACGUGCCUCUUAUGGCGCUUUUCUCUUACGCUCAUAUAUAUUCAAUGUGACUAGCUUUCGCUAGUAUAAGUUCAGUGUUUUUCUUUUCCGUUCGUAUAAGUUUAAGAUUUUUUACAAGGAAAAAUUAGACCCUGGGUUCUAACCUUUAUUCUGUGAAUAUUUGUGUCCCCAACUAUAUAUGCACUAACUUUAGAUCAUUCUUUUCAUACUUGUUUCACACAUCAACUUGGUUGAAGUGGUAGAUUGGCAAGUUUCGGUGGCCAAUAGGUUAUUGUCGGUUCAGAAAUCUAAUAUGAUAAAUGUUGUGUUUAGAAGACACAGGGAAUAAAACGUUGAGGGAUAGCUCAAUGGUCAGGCCUUGGGUUUGCUCCCUAAUGAUCACCGGUUCGAGUUCCCUCGGGGUCACUGAGGUGAGUACCUGACUGUAAACUUCAGGGACUCGUGAGAUUAGUCGAGGUGCACCUAAGUUGGCCUGAAUAUCCAUGGUCAUAUAAAAAAAAAAAAAAAAAGACAUAAGGAAUAAUAUAUUAGGCUUAAAAGUUGAGGCGUGUUAUGAGUUAAAACUAAAUGUGAUAAGAUGUAGUAUAGCAUAGAAUUACAAUGAAAACAAAUAGUUUUCUCAAGUAUGUCAUAGUUAUAGACUUGAUUUUAUUUGAUAAGUCACAAACAAUUUUAUGAACAUCAACUUGUUAGUAGUAUUUGAACCGCUUAUAAUUUUUAUAUUGGUUGAAAGUUCAAUCCUUCCAACAGAUAAAAUGCAUUUUGAACCUUACUAGAGAAUUUUUAAUUAGAUUUUGGCCGACUUUUCAAAAAAGCUGCCCCUAUUAGGACUAAAAUUGAUGAGUUGGCUGUUAUUUGAUUGGUUAUAGUGGUCUUUGACUUUGACCAACUAUUUGCAGAUUGGAUUUUUGAGAAAUUGGGACUCACUUGUAAACCAGGUCAUUUUGAAGAAAAAGUGCCUUUUUAAUGCGUGUGAUUAUGUUCACACUAUAUUUAUUUUUGUUGCAUCACAUUUUAAUUACAAUGAAGACCCAACUUUUGCUUAUUGUGGCACUUAUAUCCCCUUUAGACAGUGUUGUCAAGCUAUUGCAAAUUUAUUGUGAUGAUUUCGCUGUAAUUUUCUUCUUUAAGAACAAGUAUUUUGGAGGCAUAAAACAUAUGGAUUUGAAAUACUUGGCCGUUAAAGUUCAGAUACAAGUGUCAAUUGAACAUGUAAGCACUAAAGAUAUGAUUGUAGACCCAUUAACGAAAGGUUGGCACCAAAGAUAUUAACGAACAUGUUGAAAGAAUGGGUAAUAAAUGUAAUUGUUAACGAUUAACAUAUAUUUUGACACUCGAAGCUUACUUGUGUGUUUCUGAUAAUUCAUGUUUUGUUAUUCUAUAUAUGAAUGAUUUAUAGGAAGAAUACUAUUAAAGACAUUGUCGUUUGACCAUAGUGAAACUUCUUUACUUAUGGAUAAUGUUAAGUUAAUAAUUAGUGAAGUGGUUCUUGGGAGGAACAAUGUCUAAUUAAUGACGUACAACCGCCAUACUCAUUAGAUUUUAGCUAGCUUAUGAUGUGCAUCGUGUCCAAAUUAAUAAGAAUGUGCAAGUUUUGUUCAUUAAACCAUAUUAAGGAUUAUAUUAUGAGCCAAGACGGAUAAUAUAAGGAUGUGAUUUGUGAAGAUAAACUUUAAUGAAAUUAUAUAUUUAAUCUUUUAAUGAUGCAAAAUGAAUUCUUUAUAAUCGAUAUAUCUUAUGCAUGGUUACAAAUAAAUAAGUCUACAUGUAAGAUGAAUUAAAUGAAGGUUGUAAAGAACCACUUAUGCAUUGAUGUAAGGUAAUUCAUGAAUGCAUGUGAUGGAUGUGUAUUCAGAAUGUCCUCUCUCCACCCUUUAAAGUUGUACCGAUUUCCAUCAUUAUAUGGUACGUAUUAAAGAGAGCGUAAGAGAGAGAAAUAUGUUCAUGCACAGUUGCUUUGCAGAUACCUACUUUCAAAAUAUCAAUGGAAAACAAAGGUACAUUUUGUUAAUAUAAUGAUUUUCUUCUUCUGCCUAUCUCAGUUAAAUAGGACUCAGUUCAGUUGAACUUUCAGACUUUACAUCAUUUCUUCUUUGUUCUGCGCAAAUUGUUUUAGAAGGGUAUCCAUGUACCGAGAUCGGGUCAAAAAGUUUGUCAGAGGCCUCUGAUGCUGCAAGGUUUUCUUCCCAUGGUGGCAUUUUGAAGCAACCUGUAUUUGAUUCUUCAACCACAAAAUUUCAUGGACAUUCAUCAACUGUCGGCUCCACGUCUUGGGAGAAGUUUAGCUGCUUAUUAUCUGAAAUUGCAUGGCCUUCAAUUCCGAAGUUCCUAGCGAAAGGCCACAUUCAUACAUUACAAAUAAUCUCAGGUCUCUGUCUCUAUUUGACCAUAAGUUAUAUAUUUUUUCUUUUUAAUUUGUUUCAUUUGAGUGCACUUCUUUAGUGUAGUCGGAUUUUGCAUAUCGUGGCUCCCCAGGAGAUACCAAAAACCAUUAUCUUUGUUUUAAUUCGUUACUUUCCAAGGGGAAAUCAUUAUAUUUAGCUUGGUAAGGGCACCAAAGUGGUUAAAUAUAAAACUUUUGAACAGGCUACAAAUUUCUGGAAGCAAGUUGUAUCUUGGCAUGAAAAGGAAGCGAGAAUAGACUGCCAAAAGUACAAAAAAUUUAUGUUAAUGUAUUUAAACAGGCAAUAUUAUGCUCCUUUGGAAGCUUGGUUGUAAAACUCGGGAUCGAAAUACCAUGAUUCCAUGAUCUCAAAUGACAAAACGAUCAAAUCCUGUUGUAAGAUUUUAAAGUUGUAGAAUCUUACUCUGCCAUUGUUGAAUUUUAACUAUUUAGUGAUUCUAACUAUCCUAACCAUCCUCCAUAUUUUUAUCAAUAUAGACUUUUUAGCUUUACUUUUAAUAAAUUAAAAAGAAUGGAUUGUUAUUAAGUUAGGUAUAGUUUCAUUUUGAAUUAAGACUCAGAAAGAGAGAGAGAGAGAGAGAGAGAGAGAGAGAGAGAGAACAAUAGAAUUUCUUAUCUUGAAAAUGUUAUCCUUUAUUUUUUUCGCCUUUUGUGGAAAUCAACGGUGACAUUCCUUCAAUAGUGAUAUUUUUUUAAUCUUUGUCUUUGUUUCUUUUGUUUCUUUAGCUCUUGUUUGGCCCCAUUAUAAUGAGAUUUUGGGAAAAUAUAUUUUAGGAUAGUAAUUUUUUAAAGAAUUCAUGGUUAAAAAAGAAUAAAAGGUUUUGGAUUUACGUAUAAUACUAUUUUAUUGAAAAAUGUGUGGUCGAUAAGAAGAUGGAGAAAAAUAAAUUAUAAUUUUAAUGUGGGCCAAACUAAGGCUUAGUCACUUUUAAAACAGCUCAUUUGUAAUUUGCUUUUAAUCUAUAUGUUUUUUUUUGUUUUUUUUUUUCGUGUGUUGAAUUUCUAAUUGAUUUGUUGAAAAUAAAUCGUAGAAGUGGACUUGAUUUUAUAGGUUCAUAAUGUAAUGAUUGUUCAUAUAAUUUAUGGUUGGGUAUAAUUUUGGUAAAUAUCCACGGUGAUUGGUGUUCAUGAUUUGUCAUACAAAUAUUAAUUGUAAUUAAAAAAAAUGAUCUUAAAAAAUUGAAAAUAAAGGGUACUUUGAUUUCGGGUACUUGUUUAACAUUUAAAUGAAAUUUUUAUUUGACUUCUUUUGCAUUUUCAUAAAUCAAUUGUGUACCUUUAUAAAGUAUUUGUGACCUUGGUUUUAUAGUUUAAUUUUAGUUAGUUAUGGUUAUUUGUUUGUUAUUAAGAAUAUUUAACAUUUAUCUAUGUUUCAAAAUAUUGUUGUUAAGAACAACCGCCACCACCCAACCCCAUACCCACCAAACCACCACCCAUUCACCAUCGACCCUUGAUGAUGUCGGCGACGAAAAUAUCGUGUCGCCCGGCAAACCGUUGGAGACCGGCCUCAUGCCAAUAAUACAGCCGUACACUCAAGCAGUGGCCCUAGGUGGUAACCCUAGCACCGCUGCUCAAACAGUCAAUCCGACUGGUGGCAAGACUAUUUGGGAUGGUACGGCGGCUAUGGGAGAUGGCGAAAUUGGUGGAAGAAACACUAUUACGGAUAGUGAAGUGAAUUGGACUGUAGCCCUAACUUAGAUUCGGCCGGUUCCAGCCACUUCCCAGGCAAACGCGUCUGACCGGUGGGCUGUGCAAGUGAUUUCGGUCAGGGAGGCAGGGCGGCGAGAUGCACGCGUCGUCGAAACGGUGCGUGGAGGACACGCGCCGUUACCGAAAAACCUGGAAAUUCUCUAGAAUGCUCCCUGACCACCUACGAUGCCUAUUCCAUCGUCAAAUGUGCCAUUUAUACACAAUCAGGGGAGAAAGUUAAUGGAUGGAGACGGCAUGGUAUUCAACUAUCGUUUUCGAGUGGAGGCGAAGAGUUUGCAAUUUUUGUUAACAAUCUCGAUGUUGUUAGGAUGAUCGAGUGGGGCUCGAAGUUAUGGGGUGAGUUUGUGGAAGUAUAUCCGACGAGGAUGGAAUGACUUUCGAGAGAAAUUGACUUAUAUGAUGGGAAAUGGCUAUAGUAUCAGAUUUUGGGAUGAUUGUUGGUGUGAAGAUUAUCUGCUAAAGGCACGGUUUCUUUCGUUGCAUCGCAUUGCCUUGGAGCCUACCGCUAUGGUGAAUGAUGUCCUAGCCAUACAUAAUGGAAAUUAUAGCUGGAAUAUUACCUUUGAGAGGGGUUUGCAGGAUUGGGAACUGGAUGAUUAUGCACUGUUUUUGACCUCCUUGCACGAGAUGCAUAUUCAGGUGGGAGAGGAUGAUAGGAGCAGAUGGAAGCUGGCGCGGGAUAGUAUUUUCUCAGUUUGCACUUAUUUUAGAUCUAUAUUGGAUCGAUAGAGAGUUCAUUUCCUUGAAAGAUGGUGUGGUAAUGUAAAAUGCCCCACAGGUAGCUUUCUUGUUACGGACGAUUGUGAGGGGGUAGACAUUAACGGUGGAUAAUCUUCGUAGAAAAGGUUUUUACGUUAUCGAAUGAUGUUAUAUGUGCAAGAGAGACGGAGAAACGAAUGACCAUUUGUUUCUCCAUUGUGAAGGUGUCCGGUGGUUGUGGAACAUUAUUCUAGCUUCCCAACAUAUGGAUUGGGUGAUGCCUAGGCAUAUGGAGGAUGUGUUGUGGGCAUGGAGGAGAAAAUUCCGAGAUAAGGAUAGUAGGCUUGCGUGAAACCUUAUUUCGGAAUGCAUUGUAUGGUGUGUAUGGAGAGAAAGGAACAACCGUUGUUUCGAAGACCAAGCAAGAACAAUAGAGCAAAUUAGAGAAUGGUUCUAUAUUACUUUAUAUACUUGGUUUAAGGCUGCAGCCACAAAUUAUGUAGAAUGGCUACCAAACCUUAUGUCGUUUCUUUCCUAUUUAAAUUGAUAAUACACUCCCCAUGUAUUAUCUAUUAAUAAAAUUACUUGAUUACUUAUAAAAAUAAAAAAAAAUAUUGUUGUUAAGAACAUGUGACAUUUAUCUAUGUUUUAAUACAUAUUUAAUAAGAAUCUCACAAUCAUCUAUUCGAUCCGACCAUCUGAUCCACAAGACCUCUUCACCGAUCCGAUCUAAAAUUUCUAUUGUGACAACCUUGUUUGGAAGUCUCUACAUGUUACGAUAUCUCAAAAGUAUGAUUUUUAUAUAUUUAGUAGAGAAAGUAGUGUAUCUUCUCAACCCUAAGGGUAGUUCAGUGGUCAAGUUUGGAUUUGCUUUCCAAUGGUCACCAGUUCGAGUUUCAUCAGAGUCAUUGAGGUGAGUACCUGGCUAUAAACUUUAGGGCUCGUGGGAUUAGUCGAGGUGCGCGUAAGUUAGUCCGGACACCCACGGUCAUAAAAAAAAAAGGAAAAGAAAAGUAGUGUAUUCUCUCUUGGCAUCUACCUAUAAUGAAAGAAAAAAAUUACUUGUUGGCUAGUUUGUACACAAAGUUUCCUUCCUUCUCUUUGGAUGGAUCUCUUAGAGUAAUCACUUCGGUUUAGUUUCUAUCCCAUGUGGAAGUGUCUUCCGUAAUUUAUAUUUUCUUCAGAAGACCCCUCGGCUGCUCAGAUCCAAAAUUAAGUUCUUGACAACCUUGUUUGGAGUGACAAGAAUUGGCUCAAUGAUUCUUACCGGCAUGUAUUGCUUUCCUUUAUAGACUAUUACAAAGAAAAUUAAGGAAAGAAGUUUGCUAUACAAAAUUAACGUCCCUAAUUUUAUCGCAGCUACCAAUUCUAUAAAAGUUAUACACAGAAACCCCUAAUUAGCUAUAAAUGAUGUAAUACCCCCCUUAAUUUGAUGUUGGUGAGUCCACAAGCAUCAAUUUACCUACAAGAAAAUCAUGAUAGAGGCUAGGCAAGGAUUUGGUGAAGAUAUCAAUGAUUUGUUGAGUAGUGGAAAUGUCGGGAAGAGUUAUGACCCUAGAAUCAUAGGCAUCUGGGAUGUCGCAUUUUGAAUAGCGCUAGUGUUGCCACCAUGGAGAGGUGUAGGCUGUGAUUGGGGAACUCCAAGUUCUACUAGAAGGCUUUGCAACCACACAAUCUCUGCAUUCAGUCUCAGUGGAGGACUUAGAAACACAAUCCUAUUUCAUACAUUACUAAGAAAUAAGAACAUUACCUAGAAAGAUACACCACCCAGUUGUAGAUCGACGAAAAUCAAGACAGUCAGCCCAAUCAGCAUCACUAUAGACAGUGAACUCAAGGGACGUCCCCUUAGGAAAGAAUAGACCACGAUGAGAGUCCCAAUAAGAUAUCUAAUAAUGUGGCGGACAGCCACCAAAUGAAGAUGACAAGGAGCAUCCAUAAAUUUGUUACGGUAUGUACUGCGAAGGAAAUAUCUGGACGCGUGAUGGUGAGAUAGAUCGGAAUCUCCUCCAACCUCCAAUUUAGAGUAAGUUUUGGAAGAAUAUCGACUUUAUCUUUUAGGUAUUUGACAUUAACUUCCAACGGAGUAUCAACUGAGAAGGCUUCAGAUGAAUUAGCCAACCUAAUCAAGUCUUUAAUAUACUCAUAUUGAUUCAAGAAGAUGCCAUGUGGUGCUGAAUUAACCUCCAAAUCAAGAAUAUAAGUGAGACGACCAAAGUUUUUCAUAAGAAAAACAAAGUAAAGACGUUGGAGCUUCUGAAUAAGUAUGUCAUCAGAGCCAGAGAUAAUAAUAUCAUCCACAAACAUCAACAAGAGAACAAUGCUAGUAGUACUCUUGUGAAGGAACACAGAUGCGUUCUACUGACUGUGGGUAAAGGAAAAAUCCAAGAGAGUGCAGCGGAGCUUGUCAAACCAUGCUCGAGGGACUUGCUUGAAACCAUAAAAAAAUCGUUUUAGUUUACAUAUAGAGUCGAGGGAAUACGCAUACCUGAUGGAAGUUUAAUACGAACGUCUUCUUUGAGGUCUCCAUGUAAGAAUGCAUUCUUUACAUUUAUUUGAUGCAAAGACCAAGACCUAGAGGUGGCAAGUGAUAACAAGAGAUGAAUGGUGGUCAUUUUAGCCAACGAAGCAAAUGUCUCAUCAAAGUAUGGAUUUCAUAUGGUUAGAAGAAAAAGUGGCGUGUCUUCUCUCUUGGGCAUCUAACUAUAAGAAAAGAACAAAAAAUUACUUGUUUGUCUAUUUCCAAAAGGAAGUUUCCUCCCACUUCUUAGGGUCAGUCUCUUCUGACAGUGAGACUUUUAUCUUUAGAGUAAUUGAUUUGCCUAAGUUUCUAUCAUAAGUGAAAUUGCCUGCUUGUUAAUUAUGUUUUCUUCCCAUUGUUAAGAGACUCUCCUUCUUGAACUGAGAAUGUAGCUGAUAGCAUCAUUAUAAUUUUCCUCUUCGACAUGUUCACUCUUUUUCCUUUUCAAGAUGACGUGCAUCCGUCUGCUUGGUAUCGCUCCUCUUUUCUUUGAAAGGCUUUCUAGAAAUUGUGGCAUGAUAUUGGAAAAUGUAGAUACCAUUAAGUUGUUUUAUGAUUUGACAGAUUGGGGAAAGUCAUCAACUUGGCUCUUUUGCUUGGUCUAAAAACAUUCUGCAGUAAUAAAACUGCUUCAACAAUCGGUGACCAUUAACUUUUUUUCCGCCAAUUUUCAUAUACAUUAUAAAAUGUUAUUGGUGACUAAUUAUUUUGAUUGCUUACUUGGACUGCAGAAAACUUCUUAAAGAUGAAGUGAAUAAGCAAAUAGCAAUCCUUUCUGGUUUAUUAUGGGAGAAAAGUUCUGGCAUUCGGGAUGACCAGUAUAAAGUCAAAAUCUUCACCUUUUGAUGAGUCGUUGCAGACGAGAAAGCUUUUAACAGAAGAUUCUGUUUUUUUUCUUGAUGGAACAAAAAUGCACAUUGUAGACUUCGAAGCAUUGAUCAAUAUGGAGAAAGGUGACCUUGAGGAGGAUCCAUGGGAAUUCUCUUUUAAAAAAUGCACAUUGUAUAGUCUUCAGUGGUUUCUAGAAAUUUUAAGGACUGAAAUGAAUUUUUUUGUGAAAAAUUAAGACCCAUAAUUUAUGGUCUUGAAAAUAUUGUAAUGAUGACUCGUAAUGAGAAAUUGGGUUUAGGUUUAAGACUGGAGGUUGGAGCCUAAAUGCAGUAAGUGUAAAGUUAAGAAGCUAAAUUGUAGAUAUUGAGAAAUAUAUUAUUAGAUGAGAAAGUAAAGAAUAAGAUUAAAUAGAGACGAUAAUGAUCAUUGAAUGCUAAGGAUUCAUAUUGGGCCUCUUUUCAUAAUCUUGAAAUGUUCAUCGACUAAAAUGAAAAUACAUUUUGG
rnacentral:lncRNA from 1 species